GGAUGUUAUUAAAAUGUAAAUUCUGAUUCCACAGGGUUGGAAUGGAGUAAGCAUCUGUAUUUUCAAUAAGUGCCCAGGUGCUGUUGAUGUUGCUGAUCCAUGAAUCAUCAUUUAGGUAGUUCUGAAGGUUAGGACUGAACGUCUCCUGGAGCCAUUAUGCAGCCUACCACACUUGCUAUAUCUUCCAGAAUUUUGGAGGAAGUAAUUCAUUCUGUCAGCUUCCGGCUGGAAAAUGUUAUCAUGUGUCACCUCAAUAUGUGUCAUCUCUGGUAAUUAUUGAAAAGGCUAUUACAUUUGGUCAUUUA
rnacentral:lncRNA from 1 species